GUGUAUAAAAUUGAGUCCGAAGUUCUUGUCUAGCAGUGUGUUCUUCCUUAUAUCGAAUUUUGUGAGCACCGCCUCUUUGCCAAGCUUUCGUGCAGCUCGUGCGGCAUUGCGUCCCUGGCUUCGAACGAGAAGAAGAAAAGAAGCGGCAGCGUGGCAGCGGCUGGCGGUUUGGAGCGAGCACUGGGCUUCACAAAAAUCCGAAGCGGAAACAAGUCAAGCGACAAUGGGAAUCCCAGGAUUCUUUUCGUGGAUCAGCAAAAAAUACCCGUCCAUUGUCGCCCGCUGCGUCGAGGAGAAGCCAACCAUUGUUGAUGGUGAGGUGGUUCCCGUGGACACAACCAAGCUGAACCCGAAUUAUGUAGAGUUCGACUGCCUGUAUGUUGACAUGAACAGCAUCGUCCACAUGUGCUCGCAUCCAGAGAAAA